GUUAAGAUUCCUGAGCGGUCUAAAGCGCUGCGUUUAAGUCGCAGUAAAAUUCUGCAAGCGUGGUUUCGAAUUCCACGUUUGACA